rnacentral:tRNA from 1 species
UCUUUGGUGGUCCAGUGGUUAAGACCCUGCACUUCCAAGGCAGGGAUGCAGGUUUGAAUCCUGGUUAGGGAA